rnacentral:lncRNA from 1 species
UGAACCGUUCGAUCAUGCCACGUGUCCUACAUCCCACGGUCUAAAAAUUACACCGCCUUUCUACUAGGGCUGGCGUCAUUACCACAUCUGACGUCAGCCCUCAGGAGUCCUUCCUCAGUAUUCAAUCGUCAGAGGCGAUAUACCGAGGACUGCAAUUAGAACCUUUUGCACCUAUCCUCGUGCAUAUUAUCGAGCACAGGUGCACGGGGGCCAAUGAUAUAACCAAGUUUUUUCCCGACGUAUACACAUACCCGAGGACUCAAUUUCGUCGGUAUGUGUAUCAAAAUGCUCGGGACAUAUGUGCUCGGGGUAUCCCCUAUAUGCCCGAGCUAUUAUCCCGAAGAGUUAUUCAUCAAUCAUUCGACAUAUCCUCGGGGUUUUGUCCUCGGGAUUAUGACCUACGACAGCGCCUCAUCCAACGAGAGAUUUAUUCUGACUAAAAAUCCUCAAUUCAUGUCUCCUAUGCCCUGAAGAACUCUAUUGGUAUCACAGUUAUACCUCAAUUCAAACUCCUAUCUCGCGUAGGACUCAUUGGUGUAAGAUUGCAAAAUCAAGCUAUCCUACUACAGGUGCAACACGGAAUCCUAAUAUGAACACACCACCUACCUCUAUAAAUACAGAACCUUGGGCCAUUAUUCAGGUACGUUUUCUCAUUGUUCUUCAGCACAUAGCCU